UACGAAGGUGGCAAGCGUUGUUCGGAUUUACUGGGCGUACAGGGAGCGUAGGCGGUUGGGUAAGCCCUCCGUGAAAUCUCCGGGCCUAACCCGGAAAGUGCGGAGGGGACUGCUCGGCUAGAGGAUGGGAGAGGAGCGCGGAAUUCCCGGUGUAGCGGUGAAAUGCGUAGAGAUCGGGAGGAACACCAGAGGCGAAGGCGGCGACCUGGACAGGAACUGACACUAAACUACGAAAGCGUGGGGAGCAAACAGG
rnacentral:rRNA from 1 species